GACGAACGCUGGCGGCGUGCUUAACACAUGCAAGUCACGGGGGCCCGCAAGGGCAACCGGCGAACGGGUGCGUAACACGUGAGCAACCUGCCUAGAUGUGGGGGAUAGCCGGCCCAACGGCCGGGUAAUACCGCAUACGGUCACGAGGAGGAGUCUCCUUGUGAAGAAACCUCCGGGGCAUUUAGAGGGGCUCGCGGCCUAUCAGCUAGUUGGUGAGGUAAUGGCUCACCAAGGCUCGACGGGUAGCUGGUCUGAGAGGAUGGCCAGCCACAUUGGGACUGAGAUACGGCCCAGACUCCUACGGGAGGCAGCAGUGGGGAAUCUUGCGCAAUGGCCGAAAGGCUGACGCAGCGACGCCGCGUGUGGGAGGACGCCUCGGU
rnacentral:rRNA from 1 species